rnacentral:rRNA from 1 species
AGUGAACGCUGGCGGUAGGCCUAACACAUGCAAGUCGAACGGCAGCACAGUAAGAGCUCGCUCUUACGGGUGGCGAGUGGCGGACGGGUGAGGAAUACAUCGGAAUCUACUUUUUCGUGGGGGAUAACGUAGGGAAACUUACGCUAAUACCGCAUACGACCUACGGGUGAAAGCAGGGGAUCUUCGGACCUUGCGCGAUUGAAUGAGCCGAUGCCGGAUUAGCUAGUUGGCGGGGUAAAGGCCCACCAAGGCGACGAUGCGUAGCCGACCUGAGAGGGUGAUAGGCCACACUGGAACUGAGACACGGUCCAGACUCCUACGGGAGGCAGCAGUAGGGAAUCUUGCGCAAUGGGCGAAAGCCUGACGGAGCAACGCCGCGUGAGUGAUGAAGGUCUUCGGAUCGUAAAACUCUUUUAUUAGGGAAGAAAAAAUGUGUAAGUAACUCCGCACGUCUUGACGGUACCUAAUCAGAAAGCCCCGGCUAACUACGUG